UAGGGAAUCUUCCACAAUGGACGCAAGUCUGAUGGAGCAACGCCGCGUGAGUGAAGAAGGUUUUCGGAUCGUAAAGCUCUGUUGUUGGUGAAGAAGGAUAGAGGCAGUAACUGGUCUUUAUUUGACGGUAAUCAACCAGAAAGUCACGGCUAACUACGUGCCAGCAGCCGCGGUAAUACGUAGGUGGUAAGCGUUGUCCGGAUUUAUUGGGCGUAAAGCGAGCGCAGGCGGAAUGAUAAGUCUGAUGUGAAAGCCCACGGCUCAACCGUGGAACUGCAUCGGAAACUGUCAUUCUUGAGUGCAGAAGAGGAGAGUGGAACUCCAUGUGUAGCGGUGGAAUGCGUAGAUAUAUGGAAGAACACCAGUGGCGAAGGCGGCUCUCUGGUCUGCAACUGACGCUGAGGCUCGAAAGCAUGGGUAGCGAAACAGGAUUAGAUA
rnacentral:rRNA from 1 species